rnacentral:misc_RNA from 1 species
AGCAUAGCAUUAUCUCAUUAUAUAUCAGUGGAUAACAUGUUAAUUGUGGCUAACUAUCACACAGGUGAUGAACAGGACACUGUUUCAAUUGAGCGUGCUAUUUGUUGAAGAAACAGGAGAAUCUUAGACAGUGGCCUCAUAUAUAAGCAAGCAAGCUCUCGCAGAGUUGAAAUAAAUGAAUGCUGAUUAUAGUUUUCCUAGUGGUGAAUGUGCAUUUAGGGAACUAUUACUUAUACCAUGAGAAAGUGGGCUUGUCUUACACUCUUAUUUUAUUCAAAAGCAUGUUGCAACUAAACUUUGCUACUCAUAAUUAUAAUCCAACGAGUGACUUAACAACCCAUCCUUACUAAUGUGCUACAUGGGAAACUAAUUUAAGUCACAAACCUAAACUUCAAUUGUCUUAGUUUGGAUUACAAGCAAACAUAUCUAAACUAAAGCCAAUCCAACCUGAGCCCUGCCAUUUGCAGUCUGUUCAGAUACAAGAACUAUUUAGAAUUAUGUACACAUUUAGAAAGCUUGUCUUGUUUUCAGAUUUAUGACAUUUUCAAAAGGGAAAGAUUUGAGAGGCAUUCAAGUAAAACAUAAGCAGAAAAACACAUGGAAUUUAGCCUUUCACUCCUUUCAAAAAUAAUAUGUUGAGUGUUAGCACAACAUAGUGUUUACUUUAUAAAGUAAAAGGCAAGAAUGCUGCAACUCAAUUCUCACAAUCAAAAGAUAUAAGCAUUUAGAAUCGAAAAUGAUGGACCUCAUUGUGAAACAUUUCAAACUCUAUAAUAGGUCAUUAAUCCAUAAUAAUCAUCUGCUUACACAAACAUUUUGCAAGUUCCACUUAUUUGUGUUUAAAUUAAAAUUAUUAUGUUAAAAGAAAUCAAGAAAGUAACAACACAUCAACACGAGUUGAAAAGCAAAUUGAACAAACAACUUUAUCACUUGUAUACUUCUACAGGCGACUGUUCUAUUAGAAAUUCCAACUAUAAGCUUCAACGAUAUGGCAGCAGAGCUAUAAAAAAAGUUCAAACACAGCAAGAUUAUCAGGAUAUCGAGAGCAACGCCUAAUCAUAAGCAACAACAAGAGAAUUUAGCAGCAACCCAGAUCUAAAGUAAGAAUAAUACGCAAAACCCACAUAGGCGCAAGUUCAAAACAAACACAAAUCACAUAAAGAUAUGACCCAUAUAGAUCAUAAUAGAGAAAAACCAGAAAGUGAUGCAUAAAGAAAACAAGCAUAGAAGAAAAGAAAUAGGGGGUGGGAAAG